GGCUUGGUUAGUACUUGGGUGGGUGACCGCUUGGGAAUACCAAGUGUGAUAAGCA
rnacentral:rRNA from 1 species